CAGUAAUUAGCAUCCUCUUGUCCUCUAGGGUAGCAGCAGGAAGGUUUGGGCUUUGAUAUCUGCUUCCAGACAGAUUACGUUAGAAGGCAGCAAGGAGGGGCUGGAAGCACCAAAAUGCCCAAGGAAAAAUGUUUUUAAGACCUCUCCAACCUGCCCAGACGCACUGAGCAGGAGGAACUCACCAGAAAUGCAUGUCUGCAUUUAAUUUCCAGCCUGGUUUUGCAAAUCCCUGUGGCAGAACCACAAUUCAAGGAGCAGCCUGGCCAUGUCAGGUGCUCAGCUCACACCAAGAGGGAGUAGGGACAGACAGGACAGCGGAGGGGACACACAGGAGACUGAAACAAGCUGCAGGCCCCAUGCCAGCAGCAGUGCCAACAGCUGAGAUCCCAAUUCACCCCUGGGCUGAGGAUCAAGAUAGACAAACAGCAGAGGGGACACUAUUUGUCCCCCAUCUGCAGAUGAGGUGAGGACUGUGACACAGGUUUGGGGCCACUCCAACCUCCCCUGCCUUGGGGACCCCACAGGACCCCCCUCACGAUGCCUCAUCACACCUCCCUUUCGUGGUUUACAGUGUAAAUGCCUUAAUCUGCGCCAGCCAUCCAAAACCUCCGUGAAUGGAGAGAAACAGGCACCCAUGAGGGUGAUUCAUCUUGUCCUUAUGGAGCUGUCUAAAAUAGGUCAAUGAAUCACGCUCUAAAAAUGCCUUUUUUUCCUACAAACCAGCAAGGGAGUUUCAAGGAUGAGCUCAGAUGUAGAUGCCUACCUUGUGGACAUCUGAGGAUGCGUUUGCCAUCCUACCUCUCUAUUUCUUCUUUCUGCGUGGGUUGGCCCAGGGAAGGCAUUUCAGAAACCUGCAGGGAAGGAACAGCUUUUAUUUGGAGAAGGCCUGCCAGUCCGAUGCAGGAUCCCAGUGUCUCCAGUCAUCUCCCAGGGAUGGUGACACCCUCCCACCAGGGCACCUGAGGCUCGCUGGUCCAUCUUCAGGCUUUUUCCAGCAGCACACCGAAGUUUCUGCCAGGUACAGAUGGUGGCUGGAGCUUGCAGCCAGCAGGUAGCAGCACCCAGAGGACUCACAGUCUGUGCCACUCUCACAAAUACUGAUGGUUGGCAAAGCGUGGCCUCAGGUGAGCGGGCGGAUCACUGAACAACUACAUGCACCGAUAGGGUUACAGCUUUUAUUCUGACUGAGCCUAGACCCCACAAACCUUGUGAAACACCCUGAUCAUCGCUUUUCCUUCAGCCUAUCCAAGGUCUCUGCCCCUGCCAACGGGGCACGGGAUCCCGAAGCUGCUCCCGGCUUCCUUGCAGACUCUGUUCAGUUCCUGGCAUUGAUCCUGGUCACAUUUCUGGGCACAGCCAUUCAGCCAGAUCACCCACCUGGGAUUCCUGCUCCAUCCUGAGCCCAUGGUCAACUCUCAUGUAAACCUGAUUUUUCUUGAUGCACCACACAAUGCUCAGUUUGUGAACUUCUUGCCGGGUGCAGCCAGGGCCAGAGACGCUGCUCAGGUUGGGGCCUUCGGUUUCACUCUCCCCACUGACAGGGCAGUGGAAACACGUGGUUGAGAAUCACAGAGUUCAGCAAGAGAAAAGGGAAUUUCUCAGCAAAAUUUGCAGGUUUUGCCUUCUGCCCUGACAGUUACAGAAGCUUAUACCAGACUCAUCUAUAUCAAUCCCUGCUCGCUCUCACUGCUCUGUCACAACCACCAUUAAUCUCCGCCAACACCGAUGCACUGAGCAGACACCCGGAGCUUCCCUCUAAUGAAUUGCACGGGAAGGGUGGAGAUGGGUCAGCCCUUUCCAUGAGCAAGAACAGCCAAGGGCAUCACAAACAUAUGAAAGCAAUCUGCUUAUGGCCUCGUUGCUCCAGGCUGCCUGGAAAGCUGCCACUUUGUCUGUUCCGAAUUUGCUACCUCGCAUCUCAGACUCUACAACCUCGGGCACGUGAGUCAAGUCUUGGGCUGGCAGAAGUCAGCUGAAGGCACCUGCCUGGCUCUGUA